AGCGAACGCUGGCGGCAGGCUUAACACAUGCAAGUCGAGCGGGCACCUUUCGGGGUGUCAGCGGCGGACGGGUGAGUAACGCGUGGGAACGUGCCCUCUGGUUCGGAAUAACUCAGGGAAACUUGAGCUAAUACCGGAUACGCCCUUUUGGGGAAAGGCUUGCUGCCGGAGGAUCGGCCCGCGUCUGAUUAGCUAGUUGGUGAGGUAACGGCUCACCAAGGCGACGAUCAGUAGCUGGUCUGAGAGGAUGAUCAGCCACACUGGGACUGAGACACGGCCCAGACUCCUACGGGAGGAAGCAGUGGGGAAUAUUGGACAAUGGGCGCAAGCCUGAUCCAGCCAUGCCGCGUGAGUGAUGAAGGCCUUAGGGUUGUAAAGCUCUUUUAUCCGGGACGAUAAUGACGGUACCGGAGGAAUAAGCCCCGGCUAACUUCGUG
rnacentral:rRNA from 1 species